rnacentral:rRNA from 1 species
UACGGAAGGUGCAAGCGUUAUCCGGUUUUAUUGGGUUUAAAGGGUGCGUAGGCGGCUUAUUAAGUCAGUUGUGAAAUCCUAGUGCUUAACGCUAGAACUGCAAUUGAUACUAUUAGGCUUGAGUUAAGAAUAGGUAAGUAGAAUUUAUGGUGUAGUAGUGAAAUGCUUAGAUAUCAUAAGGAAUACCAAUAGCGUAGGCAGCUUACUGGUCUUUAACUGACGCUGAGGCACGAAAGCGUGGGGAGCAAACAGG